CUACCUGGAAAAAACUGCCCUGUUAUACCUGCAGCUGUGUGCUCAGAACUUACCUGUGACCCAGAAAUCUGAGUGAUAUGAUCAACAGGAGAAACCAGCUUUUUUAAGGCAUAUCUGAAAAGACAGUUUCACCACAGCUUCAAAAAUGUUGCUACAGCAGGAAGAGACAGCAACCAAGGAGAAGGAGAACCAAGACGACCAUUGAUUUUCACAAUGAUGGAGCAGUCCAUGAAAUUACAGAAAGGAGAGUCCUGUGCCUCAUGGGGCCUUGUGAAUAAAGAUAUAAAGUGUGUUGAUCUUGUUAGGGAAGUAUGAUCUGACCGGAAGAAAUAUGAACAUGUUGUCCCCACCUUGCCCCUACCAUGUACCCUUGGCUGUAUCAAUGUUUCCACUGGUUUUCUUUCACAAGUUUCUGGUAUUAACAAAAAAAUGUUGAUGGAGCUCAGAGGGACUGUAUAUUACCCUCAUCUCACAACAUUCCCUCAAGAUUUUUGAGAAGAAUGAACAUAAUGCAGAGCUUUUCUCUUCUACUACAGCUCUGGAAUAGCAGAAGACAAUUCUAAAGAGGCUAGGGGAUGAGCUGAUAUUGAAACUGGAUUAAAGAAGAACAGACAAGAUUAAAAAGAUGGAAAUGCAUAGACAAAGAGUGUGACAAGUCUGCCCCCAGAAGGACCAAGCUUUCUGUACUCCUCUUGUAACUAUUCUGUUAUGCCGAAGACUGAGAUUAAUGACUGCAAAGCGGCUGCGGUUUGAGAAGCCUGUAGUUCUAAAAUCCAGCACCACCCCUUGCUUUGGAUAUUACAGAUAAAACACAGGAGAGACUUCAAAUAACAGAUUUAUUUGCUGCACAGUAUCUCAGUAGAAGCCCUCAAAAGCAGUAUCCUGGAUAAGAGGAUAAAAUGGCUCAUGCUGCAGAAAGAGAAUAUUUUUAGCUCAUCUUUGGACGUCUACUGAGGGGAAAAAAGGCUCAGCAUGAGAAGCAGGAGAAAACAACAAAACCCAGGAGACUGACCAAAGAUUCAGAAGGCUUCUGACGCCAGUGACUAACAUAACUGAGUCAUUUUCAGAUGAACUAAUGGACAUAUCUUCUAUAUUUAGACAACUUUAUAUACUAAAUGACAACACAUUUAUUAACUGAAUGUUCAGGCACUUACAAGUAUCUCUGCAUGAGUAAGCAAAUUUAUCUCUUAUAAUUUUUUGUAUCUUUGCAAACAUAUAAAUAUAGCAUUUCAGCACUAGAAUUUAUGUUUCUUUCAGGAAGUGACAAGGCAUUCUAACUGAGAAUCAGAGACAGAACAAGAGAUGGAAAUUGAUGGCUGAGGAUGUCCUGGAUUCAUCUGGAAGAGAAUUAAUUUCUUCCUAGUAGCUGGUGGUUUGGAUUCAAUAUGAGAAUAAUGUUAAUUAUGGAAUGACGUUUUGGCUGUUGCUAAGUAGUGCUAAGGACUUGUCAGCAUCUCAUUCUCUGCCAAUGAGAAGCUGCACAUGAAGCCAGCAGGAAAAACAGCCAGGACAGGUGACCUGAACUGGCCAAAGGGAUAUUAAAAUCACGGAAUAUCAUGCCCAGUAUACGAAAUGGGGGAGUUACCCAGGAGAGGGGGUCAUGUAAGGACUUAAAGAGCUCAGUUCCCUCUCUCAAAAGGCCACAGGAGGAACCUUCCAUAAGAUAAGCCACCACAACAAGAACUUAAGGAAUUUGCAAGAGGAAGGUGCUAAUUCCAGGCCUGGCAGACGUGAGGUCUGGUUAGCACAUCCUAGUUAAUGCAUCCAGACAAAUAUUCCCACUCUGGUAGUCUAUGGGAAGGAAAGCAACUGCUCAUAUAUUUAUCACUCCAAGUUGUGGUAACAGCAUGUACCACUACCCCGUGGAUUCCCAGAACACGCACUGUACAAAGGUGGUACCCCAGAAGAACAACUCUGAGACCCCCAACAUCCAAAAGCAUAGUGUGAAAAGGGACCAGCAGGGCACAGCUGGAUCCACAGGUGGUGACUAUCUUUUGCUGAUCUCUCUCUCCCUUCCCUGCACCAGGUUGUUUGGGUGGUUUUUUUUUGGUUGGUUGGUUGGUUUUUUCUCUUUUUUUCUGUCUCUCUACCUCAAAUUUACUGUUAAUUAAGUCUGUAUCAUUGAGCAUACUGUCUCAUUUGCAUCUUUCUUCAGCCAGAGACAUCUUUCACUAAUCCAUAUAUAACACACUGAUGGAGAUGCAGAGAUGGGCUGGACAUCAGUGAGUGGGUGAUGUGCAAUCAUAUUGUGCAUUGCUUGUUUCUUUUUUUACUAUCAUUACUGUUAUAUUUUAUUUUAUGUCAAUUUUUAAACCCUUCUUAUCUCAAUUUUCUUCUCCACUCCACUGUAUGCUGCUUAGCUGCCAGCUGGUCUUAAACCACAACAGACAUUUAUACCUAAUUUUUGAAUGGAAAACAUCUUGGGCUGAGCAUCUUUUCUGAAAUAAAUCAGUGCUAAAGAUUAUGUAAAUAGUUUUUCUGUUUGGAAAUAUUUUUCAUUGAUCUUGAAUGGUAACACAUUUCAUAACUAUCAUAAGAUUUAGAAUAAGUAGGAUCGUUUAUAUUACGAGUAACAACUAUUUUUGACUAGUGGGUCAGAACAAAUGUAGUUACUUAGAUCAUGUAAUCUCCCAUACCACCAAAUCUGCAAUAUGUAUAGUCUUUGCUGGUUUGUUUAACAUGACAAGGACAUAACAGUCAGUUUGAGUCCCAGUGGAAACAGAAAAGCUAAUUGUAUGUCUUUUAAUCAGGUACUUGACAGAAUGAAAUGCUUUUGUUCUGUGUAGGUGAGUGAUAUUGAGAGAUUGGUAUUCUGACAAAAUAUGUUGUACUGCCUAAAGUGAUAUAAAAAUGAGAAACCAGUAACAAACAUUGUUAUUCUAUUUGGACAGCAAAUCCAGUUCCUCUCAAUUGGAUUUUGUUAUUGUCCUUGUGAAGUUGGCAAAAGUAUUUCCAGUGCUUUGGGUAAAACAAAGAUUGGAUCCACCAUGAUAGUGAAGUGUGACACAGACAGAAGUUUUGAUAUACAGAGGCUGCUGCUUUGAAUUACAGGAUCAUUCACACAGUUCAGCUUGAAAAUAGGACAGACACAGCAUUUACCUUUGGAGUACAUGCAAUAUUUUAAUUAAGGGAUAAUGUAAUUACUAUACCUUCCUGUUCCAGGAUAACAGUCUUCUGCUGCUGGAUGAAAGCCAAGAAAGCCAAACAGUUAAUGAACAUAAACACUGACCUGUAAAUGUUUCCAAAGACUGGAAAUUUGUGCUUGGGAUAUAAUUUCAUUUUAAUUGUUUCUGAAGGAGUAGGUAGAUAAAAAAUGAAAUAAAUCAUUGAACAUCCGUACAUCACAGUGACAAUUUUUUGCUAAUCAAACUAUGCUUACAGGAAACUCCUCCAUAUGCUAUUUGCUGCAAAGACCGGCUUCUCUACUUAAAAUAGCAUUAAGAUGUUCUGACACUGGACAUGAAGAUAUCCUGAAUGCUGCCUUUCUUUGCCAAAGAUGAUGUCAUUUUUCUAGUGUUAUCAGCUCUGAUCUACACCUUUGCAGCAGAGCUGCAUACAGAUUCUCCCCAUCUGCUUUAAUUAUUUCAAAUUAUUCUUAUGGAUCUGCUUUAUUAUUUGUGGAGGGCUAAUGCUUAAGAGGUUUCAAUGUAAAUAUGGACCCAAUUGUGUUACAGAUACAUCCUAGUAAGAUUCCAGAGUCUCUAUAUAGUUCAACAGUUUGCUAAAUAUUUGUGUUUCCAUAUGACUUACAGCUAUUUGUAUUGCAAUUUUUCUACUGAAACAAAUAUCUUCAUUUAAAUCAUAGAUAAGCCUGGUAUUCAAGAAUCUGGCUGUUAGUUACAGAUAAUAUUACAAAAUCAUCUUGUCUGAAUAAUAAAGUUUUACAACUGCCAUAAAAGAAAGCAAUAGAGAAGAGAACAAACAGCUCUUCACAGGCAUACAAAGAACUGGGGUGAAGAAGACAGAUAUAGUUUGGUCUGCUGAUCUGUUCCUGCCAAUCACAUUUUUCUCCUAAAGUAUAUGCAUAAAAAAUAGGUAUCUACCUCUCUUAGGCCUUCUACAAAAAUCACUAAGGCUUCAUAUUUUCUGUAAAUGUCAGUGGCAAUAGCCUGGCAUUAAACAAUACUUUGAAAGGAUUGAAACAGAAAGACUUUAAUGUGGCUGUAAGGGAAGCACAUGCUGCCUCACUGGGAAAAAUUUCCUGAGCAGAGGGUGUGCAAGACUGUGGAACAACCUCUCUACGGAAAUGAUGUUGCAUUAUUUACCUUAGUGCUGCCAAUUAAACUGAACAGAUCUCUGAUAAAGAUAUCUAUGUGAAGCUAGCUUUUUGGGAAAAGUGCUGAUCAUUUGAUUAUGAAUUCAGUGUGAGUUCUGCAGCCUGUGGUGGGGCCAGGUUCACAUCUUUAGUACAUAAGACUUAUCAAUCCCAAUUUUAAGGGUAAACAGUAGAUUGCAUAAACUGAAAAUGGGACUUUCCUGGG